rnacentral:rRNA from 1 species
UACGGGGGGAGCAAGCGUUGUUCGGAUUUACUGGGCGUAGAGGGCGCGUAGGCGGUCAGCACAAGUCAGUUGUGAAAUCUCCGGGCUUAACCCGGAAAGGUCAACUGAUACUGUGCGACUAGAGUGCGGAAGGGGCAACUGGAAUUCUCGGUGUAGCGGUGAAAUGCGUAGAUAUCGAGAGGAACACCUGCGGCGAAGGCGGGUUGCUGGGCCGACACUGACGCUGAUGCGCGAAAGCCAGGGGAGCGAACGGG